rnacentral:rRNA from 1 species
CUUUUACAAUGAAGAGUUUGAUCCUGGCUCAGGAUGAACGCUAGCUACAGGCUUAACACAUGCAAGUCGAGGGGCAGCAUUUUAGUUUGCUUGCAAACUGAAGAUGGCGACCGGCGCACGGGUGAGUAACACGUAUCCAACCUACCGAUAACUCCGGAAUAGCCUUUCGAAAGAAAGAUUAAUAUCCGAUAGUAUAUUAAAACCGCAUGGUUUUACUAUUAAAGAAUUUCGGUUAUCGAUGGGGAUGCGUUCCAUUAGUUUGUUGGCGGGGUAACGGCCCACCAAGACUACGAUGGAUAGGGGUUCUGAGAGGAAGGUCCCCCACAUUGGAACUGAGACACGGUCCAAACUCCUACGGGAGGCAGCAGUGAGGAAUAUUGGUCAAUGGGCGAGAGCCUGAACCAGCCAAGUAGCGUGAAGGAUGAAGGCUCUAUGGGUCGUAAACUUCUUUUAUAUGGGAAUAAAGUUUUCCACGUGUGGAAUUUUGUAUGUACCAUAUGAAUAAGGAUCGGCUAACUCCGUGCCAGCAGCCGCGGUAAUACGGAGGAUCCGAGCGUUAUCCGGAUUUAUUGGGUUUAAAGGGAGCGUAGGUGGAUUGUUAAGUCAGUUGUGAAAGUUUGCGGCUCAACCGUAAAAUUGCAGUUGAAACUGGCAGUCUUGAGUACAGUAGAGGUGGGCGGAAUUCGUGGUGUAGCGGUGAAAUGCUUAGAUAUCACGAAGAACUCCGAUUGCGAAGGCAGCUCACUAGACUGUCACUGACACUGAUGCUCGAAAGUGUGGGUAUCAAACAGGAUUAGAUACCCUGGUAGUCCACACAGUAAACGAUGAAUACUCGCUGUUUGCGAUAUACAGUAAGCGGCCAAGCGAAAGCAUUAAGUAUUCCACCUGGGGAGUACGCCGGCAACGGUGAAACUCAAAGGAAUUGACGGGGGCCCGCACAAGCGGAGGAACAUGUGGUUUAAUUCGAUGAUACGCGAGGAACCUUACCCGGGCUUAAAUUGCAACAGAAUAUAUUGGAAACAGUAUAGCCGUAAGGCUGUUGUGAAGGUGCUGCAUGGUUGUCGUCAGCUCGUGCCGUGAGGUGUCGGCUUAAGUGCCAUAACGAGCGCAACCCUUAUCUUUAGUUACUAACAGGUUAUGCUGAGGACUCUAGAGAGACUGCCGUCGUAAGAUGUGAGGAAGGUGGGGAUGACGUCAAAUCAGCACGGCCCUUACGUCCGGGGCUACACACGUGUUACAAUGGGGGGUACAGAAGGCGGCUACCUGGUGACAGGAUGCUAAUCCCAAAAACCUCUCUCAGUUCGGAUCGAAGUCUGCAACCCGACUUCGUGAAGCUGGAUUCGCUAGUAAUCGCGCAUCAGCCAUGGCGCGGUGAAUACGUUCCCGGGCCUUGUACACACCGCCCGUCAAGCCAUGAAAGCCGGGGGUACCUGAAGUACGUAACCGCAAGGAGCGUCCUAGGGUAAAACUGGUAAUUGGGGCUAAGUCGUAACAAGGUAGCCGUACCGGAAGGUGCGGCUGGAACACCUCCUUUCU